rnacentral:rRNA from 1 species
CCUACGGGUGGCAGCAGUGAGGAAUAUUGGUCAAUGGGCGCGAGCCUGAACCAGCCAAGCAGCGUGAAGGAUGACUGCCCUAGGGGUUGUAAACUUUUUUUAUAAAGGAAAAAAGUGAGGCAAGUGUGCCUUUUUGUAUGUACUUUACGAAUAAGGAUCGGCUAACUUCGUGCCAGCAGCCGCGGUAAUACGGAGGAUGCGAGCGUUAUCCGGAUUGAUUGGGUUUAAAGGGAGCGUAGAUGGGUUGGUAAGUCAGUUGUGAAAGUCUGCGGCUCAACCGUAAAAUUGCAAUUGAUACUGUCAGGCUUGAGUACAGGUGAGGUAGGCGGAAUUCGUGGUGUAGUGGUGAAAUGCGUAGAUAUCACGAAGAACACCGAUUGCGAAGGCAGCUUACUAAACUGCCACUGACGUUGAGGCUCGAAAGUGUGGGUAUCAAACAGGAUUAGAUACCCCAGUAGUC